GAUGAAGAACGUAGCGAAAUGCGAUAAGUAGUGUGAAUUGCAGAAUUCAGUGAAUCAUCGAAUCUUUGAACGCACAUUGCGCCCCUUGGUAUUCCAUGGGGCAUGCCUGUUCGAGCGUCAUUUGUACCUUCAGCUCUGCUUGGUGUUGGGUGUUUGUCUCGCCUCUGCGUGUAGACUCGCCUUAAAACAAUUGGCAGCCGGCGUAUUGAUUUCGGAGCGCAGUACAUCUCGCGCUUUGCACUCAUAACGACGACGUCCAAAAGUACAUUUUUACACUCUUGACCUCGGAUCAGGUAGGGAUACCCGCUGAACUUAAGCAUAUCAAUAAGCGGAGGA
rnacentral:misc_RNA from 1 species